UACGUAGGGUGCAAGCGUUGUCCGGAAUUAUUGGGCGUAAAGCGCGCGUAGGCGGCUUUGCAAGUCCGAUGUGAAAUCCCUCGGCUCAACCAAGGAAGUGCAUCCGAAACUGCAGAGCUUGAGUACCAAAGAGGAUCGCGGAAUUCCCGGUGUAGAGGUGAAAUUCGUAGAUAUCGGGAGGAACACCAGUGGCGAAGGCGGCGAUCUGGGUGGAUACUGACGCUGAGGUGCGAAAGCGUGGGGAGCAAACAGG
rnacentral:rRNA from 1 species